rnacentral:rRNA from 1 species
GACCUCAAAUCAGGUAGGACUA